GGACUGGAGUACUUAGCAACCAAUACUAAAAUGGGGGAUGUCUUUCUACUCAUAGAUGAAGAUAUGAGGUUGGGUUGGCUAGUGGAUAAACUCGAGAAGGCUAAUGCUUGAGUUAUGUUUAGUUUCAUUGCGAUUGUCUUUGAACUUGUGUUUUUCUCUAUUCAUUUGGAUAGUCCAGUAGUUUUUUUGGUUUAUGAAUUCUUUGUGGUUUAGGACAUGUUCUUUCAGACUUCUUCUAGGAUGGAUGGACUUAGGAUGAUGUUUAUGUGUUAAUGAUUAACAC
rnacentral:lncRNA from 1 species